UUAGCCUAAUUCAGAAGAAGGAAACCAUUCCUAGUUUCUUCAUAAGUCAUCAGUUCCAGCUCCUUCUUCAGCUAGUGCUCUAGUUCCUAAGUUUAGAGAGGGUAACAGAGAUAGAGAUCCAGGCUCUAAGUCUCAGGGUAGUGUUAACAAUGCCUGAACUAAUCCCCUUUGUCAGACUUGUGGUAAGAACCACAAGGGUGCUUGCAGAGCUUAUAGCGAUGUAUCUUUCAAUUGUGAUAAACCAGA
rnacentral:lncRNA from 1 species